UGAGGAAUAUUGGACAAUGGAUGGAAAUCUGAUCCAGCCAUGCCGCGUGAAGGAAGAAGGUCCUAUGGAUUGUAAACUUCUUUUGUAUGGGAGCAAUAAGGCCUACGUGUAGGCUGAUGAGAGUACCAUACGAAUAAGCACCGGCUAACUCCGUGCCAGCAGCCGCGGUAAUACGGAGGGUGCAAGCGUUAUCCGGAUUUAUUGGGUUUAAAGGGUGCGUAGGCGGUUAUUUAAGUCAGUGGUGAAAGUUUUCGGCUCAACCGGAAAAUUGCCAUUGAUACUGGGUAGCUAGAAUAUGGUUGCUGUGAGUAGAAUGUGUGGUGUAGCGGUGAAAUGCAUAGAUAUCACACAGAAUACCGAUUGCGAAGGCAUCUCACAAAGCCAUCAUUGACGCUGAGGCACGAAAGUGUGGGGAUCAAACAGG
rnacentral:rRNA from 1 species